rnacentral:rRNA from 1 species
GUGCAGCAGUCGAGAAUCUUCGGCAAUGGAGGAAACCCUGACCGAGCGACGCCGCGUGUGGGAUGAAGGCCCUUGGGUUGUAAACCACUGUCAGAGGGGAUGGAAAUGCCGGAAAGUUAUCUCUCCGGUUUGACAUAGCCUCAGAGGAAGCACGGGCUAAGUUCGUGCCAGCAGCCGCGGUAAGACGAACUGUGCAAACGUUAUUCGGAGUCACUGGGCUUGAAGAGUGCGUAGGCGGUUUCGUAAGUAGGGUGUGAAAGCCCCCGGCUCAACCGGGGAAUUGCGUCCUAAACUGCGAGGCUGGAGUGAGGUAGGGGUGUGUGGAACUUCCAGUGGAGCGGUGAAAUGUGUUGAUAUUGGAAGGAACGCCGGUGGCGAAAGCGACACACUGGACCUUGUCUGACGCUGAGGCACGAAAGCCAGGGGAGCAAACGGGAUUAGAUACCCGCGUAGU